AAAAUUCAGUGAAAUGUAGAAAUUUACUGAGGGAUGACAGCAUAGCGUAAUGGAACGCUCAGGCAGAGAAAGAGAGUGGGAUAAGGAAAGUGAAUAGGUAGAAUAUAGGAUUAUGAGUAAGAGAGAGGAAAGUGGAAAAAAACGCAAGAAGAGAGAGAACCAGAUCUUCCAAGUUCAAUAAUGAGCUGUCAAAUUCUGGCACUUGAAAACCCAGACUUCACUAACCUCAAUUUGGAGGAAGAUUUCUACUUCAAUGAGUCAGCAGCUCUGGACGUUAUGCUCACCCCAGACCAGGCCCUGAUCCCAGGACUCGAAUGAAUAAGCUGCGGUGAAAGAGAAGCAAGCUAGGCGGCGUCAUGAUUAGACUACGUUGACGAGCAUCUAGGCCGCCGAAUGUACAAUCACUAUAUGACAAACUGUACGAGCUUUGUUCAAGACUAUCAAUGGGACCUGAAGAACUGUAAUAACAAGGACAUGGAUAAUACACUGCUCAAAAAAAUAAAGGGAACACUAAAAUAACA